rnacentral:tRNA from 1 species
GGUGCCAUAGCUCAGUUGGUAUAGCAAAGGACUGAAAAUCCUUGUGUCCCCGGUUCGAUUCCUGGUGGCACCA